AGAGACCCAGAUGCAGACACAGGAGGCAGAUGGUUGGUGUCUUACAAUGUUUAUUCAUCCAAAGGGGAAGGCAAGAGAAUGGUCGUGGACAGGCAAACAGGUCAAAACCAGAUCAGAGUCCAGGAGGUACAGAGUGGCAGACAGGCUCGUGGUCAAGGCAGGCAGAAUGGUCAGGCAGGCGGGUACAAAGUCCAGAAACAGGCAAGGGUGAAGACCGGGAGGACUAGAAGCAGGAGAAUGGGAAAACCGCUGAUUGACUUGGAAACAUACAAGACGAACUGGCACAGAGAAACAGGAAACACAGGGAUAAAUACACCGGGGAAAACAAACGACACCUGGAGGGUGGUGGAGACAAUAACGAGGACAGGUGAAACUGAUCAGGGUGUGACACGGGGAGAGGAGAGAGAGAGAGAGAGAGAGAGAGAGAGAGAGAGAGAGAGAGAGAGAGAGAGAGAGAGAGAGAGAGAGAAAGGGCAGGAGAUGGAGAAAGGGAAUUAGAGAGAUGGGGAGAGGAGAAAGAGAGAGGAGAGAGAACUGAUUGGAUUUUAAUACUUCAAGUGGGAUAUAAUGGUCCACUGGGCUCUGAAUAUGUCAGGAAUGAGUAGUGAGCUCAUUUAAAAAAGGACCAAAACCAAAACACCAUAUAUUUGUAAGUAUGUGUGUCAAGUUUCAAGUUUUAAUCACAUACAGAACUACAGUGAAAAGCCUUUCUUGCCAGCUCUAACCCCAACAAUGCAGUAAUCAACAACACCGUAAUAGUAAAAAUAAUCAGGUAGAACAAAAACACACAAGAUAAAGAAAUAAGAAAUAAGAAGAACACUAAAGUGACAGACCUAGAGCGGAGUUUGUCAGACCGUGAGACACCAUGAGACAUCCCGUUUUGCUCUACGACCUCCACUAGUGUCAGGAGACUCAUCUGAUCUGCCAACUUCUCUCUGUAGCGUCUGAACCGUUUGGGCAACACACUAAUAGGUGAGACUCUCACGAACAUGUACAAGUCUGUUGUUUUGCUCUAACUUCGUCUGAAGGUUCCCCAGUACCAGAUAAUUACAAAAGAAAAUGGAAGUAGAUACGGAAAGUGUUUUAAUGCCAAAAAUAUGGGGUUAAAUACAUAUACAUGCUUCCUGAUCUUUCUUAUAUCUCUCAGACAGACACUUCAGAACAAACUUCCUUUUGAUAUUCUUUGAGACUAUCUGUUGUUUCAUGCAGUGAAUCUGUUAUUUAAUGCAUUUGUAUGGGCUUAUAACACUAAGGCAAAACAAAUUUUCAUCAAAUAUAUUUUUUAUAUAUUUUUGGGAUACUUCAAGGGGUCUUCAAAUUCUAAAUCAAAUAACUAAAUAGCUAAAAGUUAUAUUUGCAUGAUUUAGCUUAUUCAUAAUACAUUUUUGCAUCAUUAUGUGACGACCGUUACUGGGUCAUGCAUGUGACAGACCAAUACCUCACAAGGAUUCUUCUCUCUAAGCUGAGACCUUGAAACUGAGAUAUCUUUCUCUAAACAAGGCUUUGGGCAUACUGCCAAAUUGCAGAUACUAAAAGUGAAGAUUUGUUCAAUCAGUCACUUGCAUGAACACAGAAAUAGCACAAACAGAACACAGACAUAGUUUUUUUAGAAAAGCACAAACAUAAAAAUGUUCAUCACAAAGGGACACAUCAUUUUCCUCCACAAUCCCAGGUCUCCAAUGCUGCUUUUCACCUGUAUUUUUAACCUUUUAUUUAACUAGGCAAGUCAGUUAAGAACAAAUUAUUAUUAACAAAGACAGCUUAAGAACAGUGGGUUAACUGCCUUGUUCAGGGACAGAACCACAGAUUUGUACCUUGUCAGUUCGGGAUGCAGUCUAGCAACGUUUCAGUUACUGGGCCAAUGCUCUAACCACUAGGCUACCUGCCACCCUAGUAAUGCCAGUGUUAAGCUAGACAGUGUCACCCUUAUGUGAUACUAGGGAAAUUGUGUUUCCAAGGCUGACAGUGAGGAGAAUCAACAACCUCUGCAUAAUCAAAACAUUUGCUUUGUGAGAAGGUGUAAACCCAUGUUCAGAGUAAGCCAUGGUUACUUAUGUCCCGCCCGAAAAGCCCCAAUGGUCUUGCCUUGGCCCCAAGUUAGAGCAGGUCCACCAGAGCCAAGGCCCAGUGAAACACGAUUGCUGGCCCACAUAGAUGGAAAACGAAAAGUCUGAGCCUUUUGGAUAAAACACCGGGGUAAAUCCUCAGUGGAAAUGUGCCACAAGGGAGGCCAGCUUAGACAUUUCUGUCUGUUUGUUGGCUAUAGCCGAUGGGGGGGCUGAGAGUCUGAGUUUGUCACACACCAGUAUCUGUGCUGCAAUAGUCUGUGUGGUCUAGAGUCCGUCUGUUACAUCUGGUGUUAUUCUUCUGUCGAAUCUGAUGUCCUGUGUGACCCUCCAAUUCUCUCUCUCUUCCUUUCUCCCUCCGCUCCCGGAGGAUUUGAGCCCUAGUACUGACUCAUGGCUGUCCCCAGUCCACCUGGUUGUGCUGCUGCUCCAGUUUCAACAGUUCUGCCUGCGGGUAUGAAACCCUCACCUGUUCCCCGGACGUGCUACCUUGUCCCGGACCGUUUGAACAUCUUGAAGAACAAUAUGACCUUAAUGGCCAUGUACUCUUUUAAUCUCCACUUGACACAGCCAGAAGAGGACUGGCCACCCCUCAGAGCCUGGUUCCUCUCUAGGUUACUUCCUUGGUUCCCACCUUUCUAGGGAGUUUUUCCUAGCCACCGUGCUUCUACAUCUGCAUUGCUUGCUGUUUUGGGGUUUAGGCUGGGUUUCUGAAGAAGCUCUUUGUGUCAUCUGCUAAUGUAAAAAGGGCUUUAUAAAUACAUUUGACUGAUUGAUGUGCCGAUCUUGUUUCCAUGUGGUCGUGGUCCCUGCAGCAUGUUUAAUAGAUGUUCCACUGCCUGGUGUGUGUGUGUGUGUGUGUGUGUGUCCGUCUUGUCCGUGUGUGGUUUCACAGUUAUGGUGGGAGAGACUAGGACGUGUCCUGGUGUCACACAUGGCUGACAGAAUACAUACUGUGGUCUAAUAGCAUUGUGUCAUUCAUAGAUUAAUUCACUCAGAGAGAGAGAGAGCGAGAGAGCGAGAGAGUGAGAGUGUGAGCGAGAGAGGGAGAGAAAGAAUGAGAGGUAGAGAAUUAGGGAAAGAGAGAGAUAGGCAUGGAGAGAGAGAGAGAAAGAAAAAGAGAGAGAAAGUGAGAGUUAGAAAGAAAGAAAGAAAGAAAGAAAGAAAGAAAGAAAGAAAGAAAGAAAGAAAGAAAGAAAGAAAGAUAGAUAGAGAGUUAGGGAAAGAGAGAGAUUGGCAUGGAGAGAGAGAGAAAGAGAAAGAAAGAAAAAUAAAGAUAAUUAAGGAAAGAUAGGGAUGAGAUAGAGAGAGAAAGAAAGAGAGAGAGAGUUGGGAAAUAAAGAAAGAAAGAAAGAAAAAGAGAGAGUUGGGAAAGAGGGAGAUAGGGAUGGAGAGAGAGAGAGAGAAAGAAAGAAAGAAAGAAAGAAAGAAAGAAAGAAAGAAAGAAAGAAAGAAAGAAAGAGAGAUAUAAAUAUAUAUAUAUAUGUCAUAUUCCUAGAGCUGCAUUUCCUAUUACACUGUGACAAAUAUUCAGAUCUAAGAGAAUGUUUCUUUCCCAACAUUAUCAUUCAGUACAAAUCAUUUUAAACUAUUAAAAUCUAAUAUGUAUUGGGUGAAAAGCCAAAAUGUGCAGUUUUGGCAGCCAAAUAUGUGUCUUCCUGCCACAACCUGAGGGACAGACAGUGAAAAGUGCAAUGUAAUGUCAAUAAUAUUUCUAAUUUAUUUUUGUUUUGGCUUUCAUACGAUGUCAUGUGUCUUCUCAGUCAGGUUGAGACUGGUCUACUACUAUUGCUUUAAUGUGUUAUUAUUGUCAUUAAUAUUGUUGUCACAGUUGCUGUUAAUGCUAAUCUCAUUUCAUCUACUACUAUUAUUAUUGCUCUUGGUCCCACCAUUUGUGUUAUUUGUAUACUUUGACAAGUAAUUUAAC
rnacentral:lncRNA from 1 species